GGGGCCUUAGCUUAAUUAAAGUGUCUGGGUUGCAGUCASAAGAUGUAUUUUAGAGAUAUACAGGUCUUGG
rnacentral:tRNA from 1 species